CGAGGCCCUGUGUAAAAUCUUUCGUUGGUCACGAGAUCACAUCAAACAUGUCCCAAGCUCUGUCGAAUUUGAGCCUUUCUCUUCCUUUAUCUUCAAGAAGCAGCUCUUCUGGAUCAAGAAACUUCUACUUCUUCAAAACAAAUGGGGCAGGCUUUAAUUCUUCCCUUAAGGCCAUGGCAGCUGAUAACAGAGACAAUCUUGACCGCCUGCAGAGGGCCAGCAAGCAACGGCAACAGACUCAGCCCAAGAAAAGAGUGGCUUUUGUUGC
rnacentral:misc_RNA from 1 species